UACGUAGGGUGCAGGCGUUAAUCGGAAUUACUGGGCGUAAAGCGUGCGCAGGCGGCUUCCUAAGUCAGAUGUGAAAUCCCCGGGCUUAACCUGGGAACUGCGUUUGAAACUGGGGGGCUAGAGUGCGGCAGAGGGGGGUGGAAUUCCACGUGUAGCAGUGAAAUGCGUAGAUAUGUGGAGGAACACCGAUGGCGAAGGCAGCCCCCUGGGCCUGCACUGACGCUCAUGCACGAAAGCGUGGGGAGCGAACAGG
rnacentral:rRNA from 1 species